GUUUUAAUAGUUUAAAAAAAACAAUGAUUUUGUAAAUCAUAAAUAGAAAUACACUUUAAAACU
rnacentral:tRNA from 1 species